CCUACGGGUGGCAGCAGUGGGGAAUAUUGCGCAAUGGGCGAAAGCCUGAAGCAGCGACGCCGCGUGAGGGAUGAAGGUUUUCGGAUCGUAAACUCCUGUUAGCAGGGAAGAACGGUACCUGUGCUAAUCAGCAGUGAAUUGACGAUACCUGCAAAGGAAGCACCGGCUAACUCCGUGCCAGCAGCCGCGGUAAUACGGAGGGUGCGAGCGUUAACCGGAAUUACUGGGCGUAAAGCGCUCGUAGGCGGUAUGUCAAGUCAAAUGUGAAAUCCCCGAGCUUAACGUUGGAACUGCCUUUGAAACUGUCAAUCUGGAGUGUGGGAGAGGUAAGUGGAAUUCCAGGUGUAGGAGUAAAAUCCGUAGAGAUCUAGAGGAAUACUAGUUGCGAAGGCGACUAUCUAGAACAUAACUGACGCUGAUGAGCGAAAGCGUGGGUAGCAAACAGGAUUAGAUACCCGAGUAGUC
rnacentral:rRNA from 1 species